rnacentral:rRNA from 1 species
GGACUACCGGGGUUUCUAAUCCUGUUUGCUCCCCUAGCUUUCGCGCUUCAGCGUCAGUACCUGUCCAGGUAGCCGCCUUCGCCACUGGUGUUCUUCCCAGUCUCUACGCAUUUCACCGCUACACUGGGAAUUCCACUACCCUCUCCAGGACUCAAGCCGAACAGUAUCGGAGGCAAUUCCUCAGUUGAGCCGAGGGAUUUCACCUCCGACUUGAUCGGCCGCCUACGCGCCCUUUACGCCCAAUGAUUCCGAACAACGCUGGCCCCCUCCGUAUUACCGCGGCUGCUGGCAC